rnacentral:rRNA from 1 species
GACGAACGCUGGCGGCGUGCUUAACACAUGCAAGUCGAGCGAUGAAGCACCUUCGGGUGUGAAUUAGCGGCGAACGGGUGAGGAACACGUGAGAAAUCUGCCUUCAACACUGGGAUAACUCCGGGAAACCGGGGCUAAUACCGGAUAUGAAACCUGCGGGCAUCCGCGGGUUUGGAAAGUUUUUCGGUUGAAGAUGAUCUCGCGGCCUAUCAGCUUGUUGGUGAGGUAAUGGCUCACCAAGGCGACGACGGGUAGCCGGCCUGAGAGGGCGACCGGCCACACUGGGACUGAGACACGGCCCAGACUCCUACGGGAGGCAGCAGUGGGGAAUAUUGGGCAAUGGAGGAAACUCUGACCCAGCGACGCCGCGUGCGGGAUGAAGGCCUUCGGGUUGUAAACCGGCUUUCAGCAGGGAAGAAGCGAAAGUGACGGUACCUGCAGAAGAAGCACCGGCUAACUAUGUG